rnacentral:misc_RNA from 1 species
AACCAUAGAAACCUGCGGAGUACCUGCGGAGGGAUCAUUACCGAGUGUGGCCCCAUUUUUAAAACAAAUAGGGGUACCUCCCGUCCUUUGCAGGGCCCUUUGGGGCUUUUUGAACUUUGCUUCGGCGGGUUUUAUCCCGCCGGAACACCCUCAAGAAAAUCUUUUUAAAAAUACUGUCGUCUGAGCAUUUACAAAAUAAAACAAAACUUUUAACAAUGGAUCUCAGAUCGGAAGAGCACA